AUUGAACGCUGGCGGCAGGCCUAACACAUGCAAGUCGAGCGGAUGAAGGGAGCUUGCUCCUGGAUUCAGCGGCGGACGGGUGAGUAAUGCCUAGGAAUCUGCCUGGUAGUGGGGGAUAACGUCCGGAAACGGGCGCUAAUACCGCAUACGUCCUGAGGGAGAAAGUGGGGGAUCUUCGGACCUCACGCUAUCAGAUGAGCCUAGGUCGGAUUAGCUGGUUGGUGGGGUAAAGGCCUACCAAGGCGACGAUCCGUAACUGGUCUGAGAGGAUGAUCAGUCACACUGGAACUGAGUCACGGUCCAGACUCCUACGGGAGGCAGCAGUGGGGAAUAUUGGACAAUGGGCGAAAGCCUGAUCCAGCCAUGCCGCGUGUGUGAAGAAGGUCUUCGGAUUGUAAAGCACUUUAAGUUGGGAGGAAGGGCAGUAAGUUAAUACCUUGCUGUUUUGACGUUACCAACAGAAUAAGCACCGGCUAACUUCGUG
rnacentral:rRNA from 1 species